UUUCCUUUUAACUCCUCCAGUUCUUAAUUUUCUUUCAAUCAAUUUCUCUUCUAAUUCCAUUUUCUAAAUCAAGAUUUUGGAAGAAGAAGAAGAAGAGCCAUUUGGGUUUAAUUUGCUUCUCGAAAAGGACACGCAAUCAGCAUCUGAGAAAGUAGCUUGAUUGACAAAUCUGAAGGAACAUCAGUCCUUGAGCACACUUGUUCUUAAAGAUAUCUUAAAAGUUGAUGAGCUAACUCUAAAUGAGGUUCAUGCGUUUGAGAGAUACAUUGGCUGAGUUUGUGAACUGUAGAUGCAAUGUCAGGCCGAGAAAGAACCAAAUACAUCAAUCAGCCAAUGAGCCUGCGAAACUGAGAAGGAUCUUUGAGCAAAGGACCUUCUGCAGCACUUAAAGAAUGCUUGGAAUCCAUGGGAAGAUAUGCUGGUUUUGAAGCCAGAAACACUGUAUCUUCAAGAAGUUAUUGAGUGUAAUGUCGUUGAGAAAGAUAAAUACCUGCAAAUGACUAAGCAAUUUCGAGACCAAGUAUUUGAAAACUCCCAAAUCUUUCAAUUUAAAAUGGGAAUAUACAAGAUUUUUAACUCUUGUAUACCAAUCAAAGAAAGCCAUGCAAUGACAAUGUUAUCCACAUAGAUCAAAAGAGCAACAAAUGAGAUGCCUGAUCCCUCAAUGAAUAAGGAUUAUCCGAUUUAAACUUGCGAAACUCAAACUGAAGAAGAAAAUGGGUGAGCUUGUAGUUUCAUUGCCGAGAAACUUGUUUGAGUCUAUAAAUGGACUUGUGGAGCUUGUAUACCAUUUAGCUAUAUGAACUGAGAUUCUCCACCUAGCUUGGAUACCCAAAUGGAAUGUCCACGUAAAUCUUUUCAAAAAAGGAUCCAUUCAGAAAGGCAUUAUUGACAUCCAGUUGGGUCAGACGCCAUUUUUGAGAAGUAUCUAAUGCAAGCAUGACUUUCACGGCAACUAGCUUAGUCACAGGAGAAAGUUCUCAUAAGAUCGACUUUUUCGGUUGAGUCUAUCCUUUUGCUUCCAAACUAGCCUUUCAUCGCUCCAUCUGAUCUAUAUUUAAUUUUAUGAACGCAUUUACAACCAAUAGCAUGUUUACCUGGAGGCAGGGGAACAACGGACCAAGUGUGAUUGGACUCCUUUGCAUCUAGCUAAGCUUGCAUCACUUCUCUCCAAUCCUUGUGAGGUACCACCUGAUGAUAAAACCGUAGCUCAAAAUUAGAAGACAUGGCAAAAGAUAGUGACCGCGAGCUGAGAAAUUCUGUCAUAAGUAAAACGUUGUGACAAAGGAGAUCAAAUUGAUUCCUUAGCAGCUGAACCGGAAUGCAGGGACAGAUUAUUGUGAUAAUCCCUUAGGGUUUUUAUUACUCGUUCCAUUUUUCAAAUGGGUGCCCAGAGAAAAGUAUACUCUGCUGGAAAAGAAAAAAUUUGUGACAGAGAGUGGCUUCAUUUGUGGCACCGAGAACUUCAUGGAAGACUUCGGAUAUCAGAUCCCGAUCUGCACACUGCAAGAAGACGUUGAAAUCAUUACCGAUGUCAAAUAUUUUGCCAAACCUCACAAGAUACCCCAUGCAGCUGGCCUUCAGUUUCGGC